rnacentral:rRNA from 1 species
AGAGUUUGAUCCUGGCUCAGGACGAACGCUGGCGGCGUGCCUAACACAUGCAAGUCGAACGGAGUUAAGCCCUUCGGGACUUAACUUAGUGGCGAACGGGUGAGUAACGCGUGAGAAACCUGCCUUUCAGUGGGGGACAACAGUUGGAAACGACUGCUAAUACCGCAUGAUACUUCUUGAGGGCAUCCUUGAUAAGUCAAAGCUUUAUGUGCUGAAAGAUGGUCUCGCGUCUGAUUAGCUAGUUGGUGGGGUAACGGCCCACCAAGGCGACGAUCAGUAGCCGGUCUGAGAGGAUGAACGGCCACAUUGGGACUGAGAUACGGCCCAGACUCCUACGGGAGGCAGCAGUGGGGAAUAUUGGGCAAUGGGGGAAACCCUGACCCAGCAACGCCGCGUGAAGGAAGAAGGCCUUCGGGUUGUAAACUUCUUUUACCAGGGACGAAGAACGUGACGGUACCUGGAGAAAAAGCAACGGCUAACUACGUGCCAGCAGCCGCGGUAAUACGUAGGUUGCAAGCGUUGUCCGGAUUUACUGGGUGUAAAGGGCGUGUAGGCGGAGCUGCAAGUCAGAUGUGAAAUCCCGGGGCUCAACCCCGGAACUGCAUUUGAAACUGUAGCCCUUGAGUAUCGGAGAGGCAAGCGGAAUUCCUAGUGUAGCGGUGAAAUGCGUAGAUAUUAGGAGGAACACCGUGGCGAAGGCGGCUUGCUGGACGACAACUGACGCUGAGGCGCGAAAGCGUGGGGAGCAAACAGGAUUAGAUACUCUGGUAGUACACGCUGUAAACGAUGAAUAGUAGGUGUGGGAGGAAUGACACAUUCGAUGCCGCAGUUAACACAAUAAGUAUUCCAACUGGGGAGUACGACCGCAAGGUUGAGACUCAAAGGAAUUGACGGGGGCCCGCACAAGCAGUGGAUUAUGUGGUUUAAUUGGACGCUAAGCGAAGAACUUUAUCAGGAUAGGACAUCCAAAUAAGGAAGCAGAGAUGCAUUAGGUGCCCUUCGGGGAAAGUUGAGACAGGUGGUGCAUGAUAGUCGUCAGCUCGUCUCGUGAGAUGAUGGGGUAAGUCAUGCAAGGAGCGCAACCCCUAUUGAUAGUUGCUAAGAAAGAGCAGUUUAGCGAGAUGGCGGUCGACUACACCGGAGGAAGACGGGAACGAAGUCGAAUCAUCAUGCCCGUAAUGUAAUGGGUUACACAUGUAAUACAAUGUCCAUCAACAGAGGGAAGUAGAAGCAGUGAGGUGGAGCAAAUCUCCAAAAACGGUAUCAGUUCGGAUUACAGGCUACUAAUCGCUUGCACGAAGAUGGAAUUGCUAGUAGAUCGCGGAUCAGCAUGCCGCGGAGAAUAUGUUCACGGGCCUUGUACACGCCGCCAGUCA